rnacentral:misc_RNA from 1 species
ACUGAAGGUCUUAAUCCGGGUUCCGGGUGCAUCUCUUAGAUUAGGAUCGAAGAAGAGAAGUUGUUGAAGACAUUUAUUAAAACUCAAACUGUUCUUGGAUUUCUUACAUAUUCUGUUUGUUUGUUGAAUUGCUGUAGGAUAUAUCGAUAUGCCAACAGGUCAAGAACAGAAAUGGCAGAGAGAUGCUGCUGACCAGAACUUUGAUUACAUGUUCAAGAUUUUGAUAAUAGGAAAUAGCAGUGUAGGAAAGACGUCAUUUCUUUUCAGAUACGCAGAUGAUUCCUUUACGUCUGCUUUUGUCAGCACCGUUGGAAUUGACUUUAAGGUGAAGACUGUUUUCAGACAGGACAAAAGAGUAAAACUUCAGAUAUGGGAUACAGCAGGACAGGAACGUUAUCGAACAAUAACUACAGCAUAUUAUCGAGGAGCUAUGGGCUUCAUACUCAUGUAUGAUGUUACUAAUGAGGAAUCGUUUAAUAGUGUCCAAGACUGGGUAACCCAAAUUAAGACUUAUUCGUGGGACAAUGCACAGGUAAUAUUGGUUGGGAAUAAAUGUGACAUGGAAGAUGAACGUGUUGUUUCAACAGAACGAGGGAAGCAGUUAGCCGAUCAAAUUGGUCUCGAGUUCUUUGAAACUUCGGCUAAGGAAAACGUCAACGUUAAAGCUGUGUUUGAAUGUCUGGUAGAUAUUAUUUGUGACAAGAUGUCAGAAAGUUUGGACUCUGAUCCUAAUCUUGUUGGUGCUUCCAAAGGCACCAGGCUGACGGAGAACCCCGCUCCUUCAAACGGCGGGUGCCAGUGCUAAGUUUGUGUUUACUGCUAACAACUCUGUGUUUCCUGGAGCUUUGUGUGUAUAUCAUCCUAAUAAAUUACUUAACAUGUGGGGUUUACUUCAAAAAAGGGGGGGAGUAAUUGAGAAAAUAAAAUUUAUUUAGAAUUAAGAAAUGUGGUAGAAAAUUUGGCUCACCAACUUUUCAUUGGCAUUACAUGUUAUUUUUCUUUUAGGAAUUGUUUGUUAAAGCUCUUACAGUACAUAUGGUUAAGAAUUUGGCUGGUUGAAAGGUUUAGAAAAACUCGUAUAUUACUUUUGAGCUCUAAUUUAACAAUAUUUCAUAGUUUGCAUGAGUAUUUUUCUCUGACAAUAUUUAUUCUUGCUAUUUUUAGAGAAAGUGAGAUGUUAAUCUUCUCUAACGUUAAAGUAAAACUUGAAAAAUGAUGUCUGUGUAGUACAUUUCAACUUAUGGAGUUUAUGCCCAAUUCCAUUUAAUACGUCAAAUUAUAUAAGUGAAUUUAAAAUAGUUAAUUGUUUCUGUGUGUAAUGGUUAUAAAAUCAGCCAAUCAACUGAUAAUUGUAUUUUAUACAUGGAUUAGGUAGCUUAAAAACUUUAUCUCAGAGUGUGUUCUGACAUUUAUUUAUUUUUUAAAUCAGUUUUUCAGUAUAUUUAAGUUAAAAACCUUUUGCAAUUUGUAUACCAAUAGUGUUAAUUAUUUUUCAAAUUUUUUUUUUCUCUUGGAGAUUGGAUUUUCACCUGAAAAAAAUAUCUUGUGUAUUUUAUUAAAGUUUGUUUAAAGAUUUAUUACAUAUAAUUGGUUUAAUGUACAAAAAUAAUUGUUUGUAUUUUGGUAAACCAUCAGCUGAAGCUGAUUUUAACUAUUUACAGAAACUUUGUAAACACAGUGUUUGAUGUAUGUAAUUAAUACUUGAAACUGUUGGUACUUGAUGGAACCCCUUAUUUACUGAAUUGAGAAAAACAAAAACACUUGUACAUUUCACAGUUAUUUCAUUUACUACUGUUGUGAUUGCACCUGACGAUGCAUUUACACAUGAAAUCAUGGUAGUAGUGAAUGAAAUAUUUAUGAAAUGUCUUUGUUUCCUCAAUUUUAGUGUGUUUGAUUUAUAGUAUUAUAUUGCCAAACAUGGAUUUAAAAGACACGAAUUCCAUUUAAAUUUAUCAAACAUCUUGUACCUGUAGUGUGGUUUACAGCUAUAGUAAAAACCAGGAGUUAGUGUGGUUUACAGCUAUGGUAAACACCAAGAGUUAGUGUGGUUUACAGCUAUGGUAAACACUAGGAGAGUUAGUAUGGUUUACAGCUAUGGUAAACACUAGGAGUUAGUGUGGUUUACAGCUAUGGUAAACACCAAAAGUUAGUAUGGUUUACA